GCGGUGGGGCGGGACUUACGGCCGGCGUCUCUUCUUGUAGCUGCGGCUUGUGGCAGCGCCAUUUUGAACGUGCAGCCGCCUCGGGCGUGAGUCCUUCUGGGUAGGGCAGCCGGCGUGGCGACCUAGGUGUCUUCUCUGACUUUGUCCUUCCAUAUUCCGUUUCUGUAGGUAUAUAUAGUGAUACAGCUAUAGAUCUAGAAUUCUAUCCGGUAUAAGUGAACUCACUAAGAUGAUGUUAAGAGGAAACCUGAAGCAAGUACGCAUUGAGAAAAACCCGGCCCGCCUUCGCGCUCUGGAGUCUGCGGCAGGCGAGAGCGAGCCGACGGCCGCCAUGGCGCUCGCGCUGGCUGGGGAGCCGGCGCCACCUGCCCCGGUGCCCCCGGAGGACCACCCCGACGAGGAGAUGGGCUUCACCAUCGACAUCAAGAGCUUCCUCAAGCCGGGCGAGAAAACGUACACGCAGCGCUGCCGCCUCUUCGUGGGGAACUUGCCCACGGACAUCACGGAGGAGGACUUCAAGCGGCUCUUCGAGCGCUACGGCGAGCCCAGCGAGGUCUUCAUCAAUCGGGACCGUGGCUUCGGCUUCAUCCGUUUGGAAUCCAGAACACUGGCUGAAAUUGCAAAAGCAGAGCUGGAUGGCACCAUUUUGAAGAGCAGACCUCUCCGAAUUCGUUUUGCUACACAUGGAGCAGCCCUAACUGUCAAGAACCUCUCGCCGGUUGUUUCCAAUGAGCUUCUAGAGCAAGCAUUUUCCCAGUUUGGUCCAGUAGAGAAAGCCGUUGUGGUUGUGGAUGAUCGUGGUAGAGCUACAGGAAAAGGUUUUGUAGAAUUUGCAGCAAAACCUCCUGCACGAAAGGCUCUGGAAAGAUGUGGUGAUGGGGCAUUCUUGCUAACAACGACCCCUCGUCCAGUCAUUGUGGAGCCUAUGGAGCAGUUUGAUGAUGAAGAUGGCUUGCCAGAGAAGCUAAUGCAGAAAACUCAACAAUAUCAUAAGGAAAGAGAACAGCCACCACGUUUUGCUCAACCUGGGACAUUUGAAUUUGAGUAUGCAUCUCGAUGGAAGGCUCUUGACGAAAUGGAAAAGCAGCAGCGUGAGCAGGUUGAUAGAAACAUCAGAGAAGCCAAAGAGAAACUGGAAGCAGAAAUGGAAGCAGCUAGGCAUGAACACCAAUUAAUGCUAAUGAGGCAAGAUCUAAUGAGGCGUCAAGAAGAACUCAGACGAUUGGAAGAACUCAGAAACCAAGAGUUGCAAAAACGGAAGCAAAUACAACUGAGACAUGAGGAAGAGCACCGUCGCCGUGAGGAAGAAAUGAUCCGACACAGAGAACAGGAGGAACUCAGGCGACAGCAAGAGGGCUUUAAGCCAAACUAUAUGGAGAAUAGAGAACAGGAAAUGAGAAUGGGUGAUAUGGGUCCCCGUGGAGCAAUAAACAUGGGAGAUGCAUUUAGCCCAGCACCUGCUGGUAACCAAGGUCCUCCUCCAAUGAUGGGUAUGAAUAUGAACAACAGAGGAACUAUACCUGGCCCACCAAUGGGUCCUGGUCCUGCCAUGGGACCAGAAGGAGCUGCAAAUAUGGGAACUCCAAUGAUGCCAGAUAAUGGAGCAGUGGAGGGUGAAAGAAAACAUGGAUGAAGCUGCCUGAAUAUCGGCUUCUGGCAUGAAUCAAGUUCAGAGACUAGGAAAUGCUGGUGUCAGAUUCCCUUUCAGGUCAUCUUGUGGGAGAAACGCUUUUAAAGACAGAGGAGAAACAGCCAGAAAACAGAGAUUUCAUUUGUGAAUUUAUUACUCCAUAUAAACAACUUAUGAAUAAUCGCUAACACUUGACAUUAUGCCUCAUGGACAAAUUUUCCGUGGUUAAAAUAUCUGAAUGGUGCAAACUUCCACUCUCAUUCAGGUGUUAUAAGAGUUCUUGCUGGCUGAUGUUGCAAAGUAGUGUGGUAGUAGCCUACAAAUACAGAAUGAGACUCUCCUUUCAAUUCGCUAUAAAUGGGAAAUGUUAGAGGGAUUUUUUUUGGCAUCCCCUCUAGCCUGCAAUUUGGGGUCAGUCCCCAAGAUAAGGGGCUACUCAUGAAAUUUGGCACUGUUGUGAGAAAAAUCAUGUUUUACUAAAGCCAUGUAUGUAUAUUUAAGCCCAAUGAAAGCAAAGAGUAUGAGGGAAAUAGUGUGUUGUAGAAUAAUGAAAAAUUAAUUUCUUCCAAGUUAAACUGAUAUGCAGUAUUAGGGUUAGAUUCCAGCUGGGGUUCUUGGGGGCUCUGGAUGUCGGCAGAGGACUAUUUCAGGAUUUUAAUUUGGUCCUUAUUUGUGCCUCCUCACUGUAAUUAGAUUUAGCUUACUAGUAACACUUUUCUUUACUUGGAAGUAGAUGUGAGGCCUAGAAAUCCCACUUUGGUCUGAAAGGAGAUUUAUCUGCAAGUCUGCACAGAGAAGAGGAAAGCCAUAUGAAUCCUGUGAGUGGUUCUCUGCGUUUACUUAACCAAUAAAGUUUAAAAAGUUUACAGCCGUUUUAGGAGUUUAUAUAGUAUUUAGGCUAUGAAACAUGAACUGUAUGAAAUGUUAACAUUUUCAGAAUUAUUUCACAAGUCACUUUUUGACAAUUCUGGCGUAUGUAUCCUCCUUUUCCUUGGUCUUUGCUAAUCAGCGAUCCUAAAUGACCUAUUCUCGGAGUGAAAGCAAACUAACUGUGGUCCAACAUUUGCGUAGUGUUAGGUAUUAGAGGUUUCUCUUUGGUACUAACCAUUGCGGAGAAAAGCCCGUAUAAUGUGUUUUCCGCUACAGCCAUGCUUAUUAGAGUGGGCCAGAUACGAAUGAUAUAGAAGUUCACUGAGUCAUCCAGUUAGGAUGUCCUCCCUGCCAUAUGCACCAGAAAAGAGUAAAGACUGAGGGGUGAUUUUUUCUAAGAUAAAAUUGAAGUAAAAAUGUGGACUAUGUGCUUUUCAGUGAUGAUGUACUUAGUGAUAUCACCCACGGCCCAGAUGAUAAAGUUGAGUUAUAUAUUCUGUGUUGUAUAUACUUUCUAAGAAGAUUGCUUUGGUUUUGACCUGCAGUACCUAAGCAGGUCUGUAAACCUUUUGGUUAAGCUGCCGCUUGAGAAUUGCUUUGUUUUCCAGAGAAACCAAGGCUCACACUUUGUACCUACUUUAUUUGAAUAAUCAAAGUAGCAGCAUUAUUAAUAUCUGACGGAAUUAUUAGCUGCCUCAUCACAGAACCAGCAAGAAACCACUCUCUCAAGUGCGAGUCUCAAGACAAUUCAAGUCUCCUUCAUCCUUAAGAAACCAAAGUGGACAAGUGUGCUUUUCAUUUGGCUCCAGAGAAGCUAUAGGUGAGGCGCCAGGGGGACUCAGUCGGUGAAGCAUCUGCUCUUGAUCUCGGCUCAGGUCAUGACCUCACCGUUCGUGAGUCUGAGCCCCGUGUCUGUCAGCGCAGAGCCUGCUUGGGAGUGUCCCUCCAUCUCUCUGCCCCUCCCUCUCUCUCAAAAGAACAACAACAAAGCUGUAAUUUAGAGCAAAAUGUAUUAAGUUGUGUGGCUGUACCUUCCGUUCCUGGUAGACACAACUGUUUACAGAAUUUACUAGCACAUCUGGCACGAAGCUGAGAUGGACAACUCAAAGGUGGUGUUACUCCAAGUAAGCUCAAACUUCGUCUUCCUUCCCUGACCCCGCUUCUGUCAAAAGAACUUGCCACUUUUCCUAUAAUUAAGUUUCAUCUGUUAAAGAUUUUUUUUUUUUUCUCCUUGCUGACUUCUAACAGCUUUCACCCUUCUGAGCCUGAACUCCUACUGAAGGAAUUACUCAUCGUUCUACUUGGUUCCUAGCCUGGCCUUACCUCUUGGAUCAACAGUACAUCACCUUGUAAUAAUGUGUUCUUAUAAAGAUGAUGAUGGAGGUCUUCAGCAUGAUUUUGAGAGAACAAAUUUUCUUUAAAAACCCAUUUCUCUUAGUGUGUAUUAGAUUAAGGUACCGUCUCCCUUGCUGUUCCUGACCUAUCCACUGCUGCUCGGUCUUGUGAUUUUUCUAGAAAGUACUAGAUACAGUACUAGUGCAUGGUUCAAUAUAGCUGAAAAAAUUGCAAUCCCAGCUGUCAUUUAGUUAAAAAUAUCACACAUUAGUAUCCACCCUGAAGUCUUGAGAUACAAAGAAAACAGACCAACAUUGUGGUAUUUUAUUGAGAAAACUGUAGGAAAAGGCCAUUUGAGUACUGUAAAGUAAAAACGGCUCUCUCAAAUAUCUGUACAAUGUGGUCAAAUAUGUGACCUUUUGAAAAAUUUUCAUUAAAAUUGUAAUUCAGACAAUUAUAAAACCAAUCAGGAACUAAAUAAUUUUAUACAUCUCUGUAGUCCAGAUGGAGUUUGACUUACUAGUUUGCCAAAUAUUUCCUAAGAGAAUUUAAGACCUGUGGGGAAUCUGUGGAGACGAUAGCUCUUCACAUGAGGCCCAGUGUGGCGGACAAACCUCGGCUGCCUUCCCAGCGUUCGUAACGAGGGCACAGGAUCUGCUUUUUAAAAAUUACUUGAUGGAUUCUAAGAACAAGGAUAAAAGUUAGUUCGUGAGUCGUAUCUUCUUUUAUCUUUUCCCGGAAUAAAAGGUAACUGCAAAUACAAAAAGUUGUCACCUCCAAUUCAGGACCUGUGGCAACUGCAGAUUAGACCUCACACCGCCUCCCUCGAACCUGCCUACCAAGUCAGAGAAGUCAUCCUUCGAGGCCAGCAAAUUCGCCCCUUACUUAGUGCUUGGCAUACACAGACUUGCUUUUAAUGCAGAAAUUCACCAGGCCUAGUAGAAAAUUUCAAGUUAGAAAAGAGACUUUUAAUUUUCUUAAAUAAUUCUAUAUACCAUUCCACAUUGUGGAAAAACCGAAGUAUGCAGUCUGGAGACAACAUCGAGAUUUGAGAACACUGGCACAAAUACAUUUCUAUUUCAGAAUAUAUUAGAACCCCCACGUCCCAUCUUACAGCCCAUAACAGAUACCCAGCCGAAACUGCAAGAGGUUUACAGAUGAAACUUCAAAUCUGGAGGUGUUAGCUGUGCCAGGGUCCUAAAACGGGUCUGGAAAGGACUCCGUCCCGACUCUGUUCCGUCACUGCAGCUGCACCCUGUAUGCGCCUAUCAGCAACUUCACCUGUUGAAAGAAAAGAGGCAACGUAGCAGCACCAACACCUCUGCCGAGCCCCCCUUUCUUAGAGGAGGGAAAACGCGCGCGCGGCCGAGAGUUCUUAUUUGGCAAUGUUCUCAAAUUGAUUAUCAAUUCAAGUGUUAGGUUAUCACUUUUAAUAAAUCCAAGUGCUUAAAGUUA